UGGUGGCCAGAGGAGGACAAGAGACUUCCAGACAGAAUGGAGGGACGAUUUGGGUGACAUCUGAGACGCAGUCGCACAUCAACAUGCAGCCAGGCUCCGGGGACGUGGCGGCGGCCUCUGUGGUCUCGGUGCUGCUGAUGGCGACUGCGAGGAGCCGGUGGCAGCGCCUCCCGAGCCCGGCGCUGCGGCGGAGGUAACGGUCGCGCUCUGGGGCGGGCGAUGUUUGGCCUGCCAGCGCCCAGAGAGGUGAGGAGGGGGCGGAGGACCAGAGGAAAGAAUCCGCGAGACCCGGGGUUCUGCUUUCAGUCCCACCCCGAAAGCUUCAGCUGGAGAAAUUUUCUGCUGGGAAGCUCAUCCUCAAAGAGAAAGCUGAGACCACUGCGUUCAGAAUUCAGACGUGACAUAAGAUCCAAAUGGCAAUCCUGGCACUUGAGUACUGUGUGGAAACAACUUGUCAUGCCUGCAUUGUGGAAACGGUGUUCAAAAUGAAAUGCACAACAUACAAGCUGAAAUAGCACUUAGAGUUGUUGGUAUUUCAGGGAGAACACCCAAUACAUUAAAUAAAAGAUAUCUUUGUUGGGUUGCUUUCUGCCUUAAUGUCAAUCAAUAUGUUGGAAGUUAUCAAGAAGUUCAAAUUCUGAUGAAGAAGGAAGAAUGAACCCAUGAAAUUGUCAACAUUUCAUAAUAUUCUUGAAAAGGGAAUUGUCAGUGGAAGUUGAUUUGGGAGAAAAGCUGUGGCCAUAAACAUUGAAGAAGAUGAGCAGAUUCUUUGUGACAUUGAGACUUUCUAUAGUACCACAGUGGAGGAAAUGCCAAUGAAUGUGGCUCACAGCACUUGCUCUUGUGAACUAAGAGAUAACAAUGUGCAUUGUGUUUUUUUCUUUGGGGAUAUUUGAAGCUUGUCUCAAAGCUCAUAAUGGAUCAGAAAUACAGAUUUUGAUAGUAAUAUUACUCUUACUCAUGAGCUAAUAUGGGGAAGGUCAUUGGGUUUAUCUUCUUUAGAAUUAGAAUAAUGGACUUGGAUAUUAAAGGUGGGAUUAUAAAAGUCAUUCUUAGAAGUUUAUUUCCUAGUUCUGUAAAAAUGGUUACCCUGAGCAUUCUCUGUCAUCUAAUACUAUAUUUGUGGCCUGGACAAUAUGUGCUGUAGAAAAGAAGCCAAUUCUAUUAAGCUAGUGUAUCUGCUUUUAUUGCGUAGUCAUUAGACUGAAUAGAACAAACUUGAAAACAGACUUGAUUUUUUUUAAAGUAUUUGAAUUCUUUUUGUUUGGUAUUGUGUUUUUAUUUCAUAAAACAUUUUAUU